AGAGUUUGAUCAUGGCUCAGAUUGAACGCUGGCGGCAGGCCUAACACAUGCAAGUCGAGCGGCAGCGACUUAACUGAACCUUCGGGGAACGUUAAGGGCGGCGAGCGGCGGACGGGUGAGUAAUGCCUGGGAAUAUGCCUCAGUGUGGGGGAUAACUAUUGGAAACGAUAGCUAAUACCGCAUAAUCUCCGAUCUUUUACGAGAUGGGAGCAAAGCGGGGGACCUUCGGGCCUCGCGCGCUGAGAUUAGCCCAGGUGGGAUUAGCUUGUUGGUAAGGUAAUGGCUCACCAAGGCAACGAUCCCUAGCUGGUCUGAGAGGAUGAUCAGCCACACUGGAACUGAGACACGGUCCAGACUCCUACGGGAGGCAGCAGUGGGGAAUAUUGCACAAUGGGGGAAACCCUGAUGCAGCCAUGCCGCGUGUGUGAAGAAGGCCUUCGGGUUGUAAAGCACUUUCAGUAGGGAGGAAGGUAGUGUAGUUAACACCUGCAUUAUUUGACGUUACCUACAGAAGAAGCACCGGCUAACUCCGUGCCAGCAGCCGCGGUAAUACGGAGGGUGCGAGCGUUAAUCGGAAUUACUGGGCGUAAAGCGCAUGCAGGCGGCCUGUUAAGUCAGAUGUG
rnacentral:rRNA from 1 species